rnacentral:lncRNA from 1 species
CUUAAUCACUAUGACUCUACAUGUUCUCCACUCAGAAUUCAUAUAGCUAUGAAGAUGCUGUAAGGAAACAAAUCAUGAUGGGCACAAAUGCAUAACAGCCAUAGCCUUUUACCUACAAGAAUUUGCAUGUACUGGUUUAAGGAAAGCCCGUCACCGUAAUCACAAAGUGGUCUGGCAAGACUGUUCUGCCUUAAGGUCCUGGUCUGAAAGGAGUAAAAGCAUCAGACUUUAAUAUAUCUACUAGGUAGAAGACUGCUUUGGGUGAAAGCUAUGUUUUUCUGUUCUCAUAACAACAGAACACUCAACAACAUGCAACUUAAGGGAAGAUGGGCUUGUUUGGACUCAGUAUCAUGUCACAGAAGAACUGGCAGCAUAUCAACAUGCUCUCUCUGUGUGUUGUAGCUUGCUAACAUCUCAGCAGACUGAGAAGCAGAGACUUUGGGUAGAGCCAGCACCCUGCAUCCCAUAGGCCUGUCCAAUGCCCACUGUUGGGGCCUCACAGCCUACCAAGGUGGGUACCAGGCACCCAAGGCCCAAUGUAUGGAAAAGCAUCCAUUGUGCGUUUCUGAGGGAACACAGCUGUUUUGAAGUCCUGCCCCAAGCAGCUCACCAAAGUACCACCCAGGAUCUGUAACCAGAGAGUGGAAGAGACCAAUCUCCAGAUACAGAUAUGGCCUGUUUCUCUCGGGGAUUCUCUGAGAUAUUGCCUGCACCAGCAACCUUUGUUCCCCUGAAUUUUUGCCUCUCACCCUUCCAAACUUUCUGUUUCUUCACCUGCAAGCCCUGAGCUUUCCC